CCUACGGGAGGCAGCAGUGAGGAAUAUUGGUCAAUGGGCGGGAGCCUGAACCAGCCAAGCCGCGUGAGGGAAGAAGGUACAGCGUAUCGUAAACCUCUUUUGUCAGGGAACAAAGGCGGGGACUAGUCCCCGGAUGAGGGUACCUGAAGAAAAAGCAUCGGCUAACUCCGUGCCAGCAGCCGCGGUAAUACGGGGGAUGCGAGCGUUAUCCGGAUUUAUUGGGUUUAAAGGGUGCGCAGGCGGCCUGUUAAGUCAGCGGGAAAAGCCCGGGGCUCAACCCCGGCGAGCCGUUGAAACUGGCGGGCUGGAGUUGGAGAGAAGUACGCGGAAUGCGCGGUGUAGCGGUGAAAUGCUUAGAUAUCGCGCAGAACCCCGAUUGCGAAGGCAGCGUACCGGCUCCACACUGACGCUGAGGCACGAAAGCGUGGGUAUCGAACAGGAUUAGAUACCCCGGUAGUC
rnacentral:rRNA from 1 species